rnacentral:lncRNA from 1 species
GUGGUUAAAUUGGCGCACUCCGCUUCGGCGGCCCGGGGUUUCACCGGUUUGGAUCCUGGGCACGGACAUGGCACCGCUCAUCAGGCCAUGCUGAGGCGGCAUCCCACAUAGCACAACCAAAGGCACUCACAACUGCCCCUGACUCAGAAAUCAGCCAAGGAACUGCGGAAACACAGAGGCAGAAAGGUGAUGUCAUCCUGUUCAGCAGCCUGUCUCAGGGCAAGAACGUGUGCCACAACCCAGCUGAGCCCCAGGACUUAACAGAAGGAGAGAUUCCACCCUUCCACAACCCUCUCUGGCUCACUCCUUCCCAUGGCCCGCAUUUCUCCAGGGAAGUCCUUCCUGAGGGCUAACUUAAGUGCCUCCUGCUGUAGCUUCAGCUCCUCACAGGGAUGGAACCCAGAGGACACACUAGGGGUUUGAACCUCUAAAGAAUUGGAAUCUGCAGGUUGCUUUUCCUUCUGAACAUGAUCUUCAUGAGGUUCAUCCACGUUGAUGCGUUUCCACAGUUGUAUUGAAUGAACACACCUCACGGUUGUGAGAAAUUUAAAAACCUGACCCAACCAAGACGAUGUGGAACAAUGGGAACUCUGUGCACUGUGGAGAGUAAACUGAUAUGCCCGCUUUAAAAAAAUGAUGUGGCCAUAUCCAGUGGCUGUGAAGAUGUGCAUGCCCUCUCACCAGCGAUUCCCUCCCAGAUGGCGCCGGAGAGAAAGGCACACACCUGUGCACCAGGAGCCCCGGAGUGUGGACCUGAACUGAGUCAGGAGGUGGGCAGGUUGCCUCUUUGCAAGUUGCUCAUCAAAACCACAGACCCAGAGGGCCAGAGAUAGAAGAGAACAGCUCAUGGGUCUGUGCCCAUACCCUCCCUCACUGAACGACCCCCUCCAUGCUUCACCUCCUCCCUUAUCCACCUCACCCGUGCGUCAUGCUUCUAAAUCUGACCCCAGCCCUGCACAUGUUCCCAUGCCACCAUCCCUCCCCGUCCCUAAGGCCAAGCCACACAUGUGAGUCUUC